CAGCCGUAAACUAUGCUCGCUAGGUGUCAGGCAUGGCGCGACCGUGUCUGGUGCCGCAGGGAAGCCGUGAAGCGAGCCACCUGGGAAGUACGGCCGCAAGGCUGAAACUUAAAGGAAUUGGCGGGGGAGCACAACAACGGGUGGAGCCUGCGGUUUAAUUGGACCCAACGCCGGACAACUCACCGGGGGACGACAGCAAUAUGUAGGCCAGGCUGAAGACCUUGCCUGAAUCGCUGAGAGGAGGUGCAUGGCGUAGACGUCU
rnacentral:rRNA from 1 species